CCCGCAUCGCUUCCGUGCUUUCAUCAUAAGCGAAGGAAAUGGACGACUCCCUGAUCCACGUCUUAGGAAACCAACACCAGGGUCACCCAGUGGGGUUAUUUGAAUAAUGGAGAAGUGAAGAUGUCUCUUGUGCAGCCAGGCUGGGUCAGCCUCUCUCUCAGGCACUGCAUGAUUGGAAGCAGGAGACGUUUCCCCUAGGCUGCCUCCAGACUGGGGUCCUUGGAGUCACUGGGGUCAUUAGGGUCAAUUUGGCAAUAGGGGUCUUUGGGGUCAAUGGGGUCAUUGGUGUCAGUGUACUCAUUGAAGUCAAUAGAGUUAAUGGGGUCAAUGGGGUCAUUGGCAUCGAUGUACUCAUUGUAUUCAAUAGAGUUUAUGGCGUCCUUGGGUGUCAUUGGAGUCAAAUGGGUCAUUGAGGUCAAUGGGGGUCAUUGGGGUCAAUGGGGUCAUUGUGGACAAUGGGGUCAUUGUGGUCCACCGUGUCAUUGGAGUCAAUGGGGUCAUUGGGGUCAAUGGGGUCUUUGAAGUCAAUAGAGUUAAUGGGGUCAUUAAUUUCAACGGGAGUCAUUGGGGUCAAUGGGGGCACUGGGGCAAUGGGAGUCAUUUGGGUCAAUGGGGGUUAUUGGGUUUAAUGGGGGCAUUGACGUCAAUGGGCUUAAUGUGGUCAAUGGGGCUUAUUGGAGUCAAAGGGGACAUUGGGAUUAAUGGGGUCAGUGGCGUCAAUAGGGUCAUAUGAGGUUAAUGGGGUCAAUGGGGUAAGUAGGGUUAAUGGGUUGUUGGGUUCAUAUGGGGUGAUGCGUAUCAUUAGGAACUUUGGGAUCGGUGGGGUCAGUGGGGUCAUGCAGGGUCAUUGGGGUCAAUGGGGCCAUGUGGGAUUAUUGGGAUCAUUGGGGUCAGUGGGGUUAUGGAGUUCAUGUAAGGUCACUGGGGUCACUGGGUCAAAGGGGUCAGUGGGGUCAGUGGAGUCAAUGGGGUUAUUGCAGGCCAGAAGGGUUUGGGCUUCCAAGCAAUCACCAAGCUUUUGGAUGAGCCAGCCCUCUGCUUUUUGUGAGGACAGACCCCAACGAGCCCACAGAACCCAAAUAACCUCCUUGACC
rnacentral:lncRNA from 1 species